rnacentral:rRNA from 1 species
AUUGAACGCUGGCGGCAUGCUUUACACAUGCAAGUCGAACGGCAGCGCGGGCUUCGGCCUGGCGGCGAGUGGCGAACUGGUGAGUAAUGCAUCGGAACGUGCCCGCUAGUGGGGGAUAGCCCGGCGAAAGCCGGAUUAAUACCGCAUACGACCUGAGGGUGCAAGCGGGGGCCCGAACGGCCCCCCGUGUUUGCCAGGCCGGAGGUCGGUUUGGCUAGUUGGUGGGGUAAAGGCUUACCAAGGCGACGAUCCGUAGCUGGUCUGAGAGGACGACCAGCCACACUGGGACUGAGACACGGCCCAGACUCCUACGGGAGGCAGCAGUGGGGAAUUUUGGACAAUGGGGGCAACCCUGAUCCAGCCAUGCCGCGUGCGGGAAGAAGGCCUUCGGGUUGUAAACCGCUUUUGUUCGGGAAGAAAUCCUCUGGGCUAAUACCCCGGGGGGAUGACGGUACCGGAAGAAUAAGCACCGGCUAACUACGUG